rnacentral:misc_RNA from 1 species
UGGUUCCGGCAUCGAUGAAGAACGCAGCGAAAUGCGAUAAGUAAUGUGAAUUGCAGAAUUCAGUGAAUCAUCGAAUCUUUGAACGCACAUUGCACCCCCUGGUAUCCCGGGGGGCAUGCCCGUUCGAGCGUCAUUACAGCCUUCAAGCUUAAGCUUGGUAUUGGGCGCUGCCCGCGGGCGCGCCCUAAAGCUAUCGGCGGCGGCGCGCGGCUUCUAGCGAACCAAGUCACCGCUCGGUUGCCGCGACGUCUGCCGCUAGACUACUGGCUCCCCGGAGCCUUCAAGGUUGACCUCGGAUCGGGUAGGGAUACCCGCUGA